GACGAACGCUGGCGGCGUGCUUAACACAUGCAAGUCGAACGGAAAGGCCCGGCUUUUGUGGGGUGCUCGAGUGGCGAACGGGUGAGUAACACGUGAGUAACCUGCCCUUGACUGUGGGAUAACUUCAGGAAACUGGGGCUAAUACCGGAUAUGAGCUCCUGCUGCAUGGGGGGGGUUGGAAAGUUUCGGCGGUUGGGGAUGUACUCGGGGCUUAUCAGCUUGUUGGUGGGGUAGGGGCGUACUAAGGUUUGGACGGGUAGCCGGCCUGAGAGGGUGGUCGGCCACACUGGAAGGGAGACACGGCACAGGGGCCUACGGGAGGCACCAGUAGGCAAUCGGGCGCAAUGGGGGGAAGCCUGACGGAGCAGCGCCGAGUGAGGGAUGAAGGACGUCGGAUCGGAAAACUCGGUUUUUGGGGAAGAACCAAUUUGUAAGUAACUAUGCACGUCUUGACGGUACCUGGUCAAAAAGCCACGGCUAACUACGUG
rnacentral:rRNA from 1 species